AGGAAAUAGUUUUGGAAUUAUUGAUAACCAUGGUCACAAAAGUGUGAAUGGCUAAAUUCCACUUGAUGAAAUAAUAGUACUGACAAAAUUCCAGAGUGCUAUCAUAUGAUUCUAGCACAGUUCUGGACAUCCCUAAUGCCAGGAUAUGAGUCAAGAGUGAGGAUCAGGACCCAGACUGGUUGAGUUCAAAUUCCAUCUCUCUUACUUACUGGUUGUGUCAUCUUGGAUAUUAUCUUCACAAAAUCUAUUGCAUUCUUUGAAGAAGAAGCCAAACACUGACUUUGUUUUCCUCAAGUCAUUUAUCCUUAUGAGGAUGGACUGUCUCUGGUAACUCUGGCUGCUGAAUCAGGAAGAUGAUGAGCCAGACAGGCCAAACAAUGAGGGAUAUUCAGGUGGUGUGACCGUAAGGCAGCAGUCCAGAAUUUUUGAAUAUGUGAGUAGUUCCUGGAAAUCCUGAUUAUUCCGUGUGGAGAAAUGACCUACAGAUGAAAGAAAAACAGCAAAAUGGGUGUAAGCAGGACCCAGGUUAAAAAAGGAAUUGCAAGCUAAAGAAUGGCAUUGUUAUUCAAGGCCAAAGUCAUACCUUAUGUAAAAGAUUUUUCUAUCUUUUAUAGUCCAUGUGCUCCCUUCCUUUCCCAACUACAUAAACUUGCAAGUAUUAUGUCUUCCUUCAGCUUUUAUUUGCUAAAUAUAAAUUAAACUCCUUCAAGUGUGCUUGCUUAAUCAAGGGGAAAGCAUAUUUAAAAAAAAUUUUUAAAUGUUUAUUUGGUUUGAGAGAGUGAGAGACACAGUACCAGUGGGGGUGGGGGGAGCAGAGA